UUCAGCAGUUUCCAUACUCCUGUGUAUAAAAAUCUGUUUCUAGGGAACUAAUCUUUAGCUCUGUCUGUGAAAUGCCAUAGAAAAGCCAUGAUGUGCUCAGAGUGAGGGGAAAAUCAAUGUUGCUGACAUACCAAUGUUCAUAGCUUCUGUGAAGCAGUGCUGUACAGAGCCAAGGCCAUUCUCAAUGAAGAACCCAAGAAACUGGGAGGGAGCAGAAUUAGGAGAGGGGGAGCGAGCAAAUGACUACAUGGUGCUGAGCCACCUGCCAGAUAAACCACAACAGUCCUCCUUAGAUUUGCAGACCAUCCUGCAUGCACUGAUCAGCAUUCCAGAAGCCUGGCCUUGUCUUACCAACAUUCCUGAAAAUGCCACUGUUGCUGAUUUAAUGCUAGGGCUGGGAAUUCUUCAUAACUCAUCUGACUUCACUCCUUUCCCCAGAGCCGGUGCAGAGCAUUGCUGUGCUGAUGGAGCAUCUGCACGAGGCUGUAGUUUCCCCAGUGUCCCAGGAUGGGUCCAAGGCACUCAGAGGUGGUGAGGAAAGACAAAUUGUGCAGCGUUGCCAAAUGAGGGGAAAUAAGGAAGAAACCACUUGUGCUUGAGGAUGAUGCUAUGGAACAGGAAGAUCCCCUCUUCCCCU